ACGAACGCUGGCGGCAUGCCUAACACAUGCAAGUCGAACGAGAUCCUUCGGGGUCUAGUGGCGCACGGGUGCGUAACGCGUGGGAAUCUGCCCUUAGGUUCGGAAUAACAGUUAGAAAUGACUGCUAAUACCGGAUGAUGACGUUAAGUCCAAAGAUUUAUCGCCUGAGGAUGAGCCCGCGUAGGAUUAGCUAGUUGGUGUGGUAAAGGCGCACCAAGGCGACGAUCCUUAGCUGGUCUGAGAGGAUGAUCAGCCACACUGGGACUGAGACACGGCCCAGACUCCUACGGGAGGCAGCAGUGGGGAAUAUUGGACAAUGGGCGCAAGCCUGAUCCAGCAAUGCCGCGUGAGUGAUGAAGGCCUUAGGGUUGUAAAGCUCUUUUACCCGGGAUGAUAAUGACAGUACCGGGAGAAUAAGCCCCGGCUAACUCCGU
rnacentral:rRNA from 1 species